rnacentral:rRNA from 1 species
AUUGAACGCUGGCGGCAGGCCUAACACAUGCAAGUCGAACGAGUGGCGGACGGGUGAGUAAUGUCUGGGACACUGCCUGAUGGAGGGGGAUAACUACUGGAAACGGUAGCUAAUACCGCAUACCAUCAGAUGUGCCCAGCUGGGAUUAGCUGGUUGGUGGGGGAACGGCUCACCAAGGCGACGAGCCCUAGCUGGUCUGAGAGGAUGACCAGCCAAACUGGAACUGAGAGAGGGGGCAGAAUCCUACGGGAGGCAGCAGUGGGGAAUAUGGCACAAUGGGGGCAAGCCUGAUGCAGCCAUGCCGAGUGUAUGAAGAAGGCCUUCGGGUGGUAAAGUACUUUCAGCGGGGAGGCGUUACCCGCAGAAGAAGCACCGGCUAACUCCGUGCCAGCAGCCGCGGUAAUAC